rnacentral:rRNA from 1 species
AGAUUGAACGCUGGCGGCAUGCCUAACACAUGCAAGUCGAACGGGAGUAGCAAUACUCUAGUGGCGGACGGGUGAGGAAUACGUAGGAAUUUGCCCUUAAGUGGGGGAUAACCCCGGGAAACCCGGAUUAAUACCGCAUGACCUCGAAGGAGCAAAGUGGGGGAUCGCAAGACCUCACGCUUUUGGAGAAGCCUACGUCGGAUUAGCUAGUUGGUGAGGUAAUGGCUCACCGAAGGCGACGACUCCGUAACUGGUCUGACGAGAUGAUCAGUCACGACCGGACUGAGACGACCGGUCCGGACUCCGUACGGGACGGCAGCGUAGGUGGGGAACUAUUGGAACGUAACGUGGGACGGCAAGCCU